rnacentral:rRNA from 1 species
AUUGAACGCUGGCGGCAUGCCUUACACAUGCAAGUCGAACGGCAGCACGGGGGCAACCCUGGUGGCGAGUGGCGUACGGGUGAGUAAUGCAUCGGAACGUGUCCUCUUGUGGGGGAUAACCAGUCGAAAGACUGGCUAAUACCGCAUGAGCUCGAGAGAGGAAAGCGGGGGACCGCAAGGCCUCGCGCGAGAGGAGCGGCCGAUGUCCGAUUAGCUAGUUGGCGGGGUAACGGCCCACCAAGGCGACGAUCGGUAGCUGGUCUGAGAGGACGACCAGCCACACUGGGACUGAGACACGGCCCAGACUCCUACGGAGGCAGCAGUGGGGAAUAUUGGACAAUGGGGGGAACCCUGAUCCAGCCAUGCCGCGUGUGUGAAGAAGGCCUUAUGGUUGUAAAGCACUUUAAGCGAGGAGGAGGCUCUUUUGGUUAAUACCCAAGAUGAGUGGACGUUACUCGCAGAAUAAGCACCGGCUAACUCUGUGCCAGCCGCCGCCGUAA